AUUUGCCUAAUACAAUUUUUUUUCUACUGUACAAUCACUUAUGAUGGAGCAAAUCAUAUGAUUUUUAUAUUUCUUUUUAGACUAUCAGUAAUUUUCACAGAAAUACUAAAAUUUCAGAACCAUUGGUAAUUAGAACCAGGACUAGAAAACAGUUUGUUUCUUUCUUCCUAAAACCUCUACUAAACAACCUCAAACUAUAUUACUAAGCUUUAAAGAAAUACAUGAAAUCAGAGAACUUAAAUAUUUUACUUGGAGAAUAACCAUCUUUUUUAGAUUUACAUGUUUUCACUGACUGCUGGAAUUUGUUUUAGUUUCUAUAUAUGACCUUAAGUUGUUAUAACUUAGAAUGUUAACUUAAAUAUGACUUAAAAUACAGGAAGAAAAAAGAGUAAUUUGGAGAAAAUAAAAAAUAAAUCUGUUCCUUCAAAAUAAUUGUGAUGUUUCUCUAUAAAAAUGAAAAAAAGUUGUUAAAUAAUAGGGAAAAAAAAAACUGCUUGACUACAGUUGUGAAAUUGUGUUUCUACUUAAAUUCUGACAAAUGAACUUAAGGAUUCAAAAGUAGGCUUUUGAUCUCCUCAGAGUACUUUUUUAAACAUUUUACCUUCAUCUCUUAAUCUACAACUGAUUACUGUUGGGACUAAGGCCAGGGGGCAUUUGAAUUUAGAUAGACUCUUCAAGGUCCAUGGCUUCACUCUUUGCAUAUCAACACAUUUGUUGAUACUCCUAAUCACUUUACCAAUUCCUUAUUAUAAAUUUCUAUUUAAUCCUUGAAAAUCCACUCUGGUAUUCUACAAAGACGGGAAAUUUAAAUCUCUGCUGUGUGUGACACACCGUUAACUCCAGCAAGACACCGUAUCUGAUAUGUUAAUAUUUACAGAUUGUUAAUGUAAUAAUGACCCAUCUGCUUCUGCUGUCAUAGGCACUUUCUGUCUAGAGGGAUAGAAAUUCACGGCAGAGUCUCUCUGAGCUGCCUGAUGUCAGAGCUGGGAAAGGUGUGAAGGGUAUACACGAGCUAGAUUACUGGUUAGCAAGUCUGGGGUAAAUGUUCCAGUGGAUGCAAGCUUGGGAUUUUUCAUGGAGCUUCUUUGCUAUCAAAGGCAUUUUCUGAUAGAGCUGACACUGAGACAUUAAAAGGUAAGGAAUUUUCUGUUUCUGGGAAAAUAUUAUUGAUUUAGCAUGAGAACAAAUUUGGGAUCAAAUAUAGGGCUUAUUUCAAAGAAAUAUUAAAGGUAUAAUGUUCUAUAGCACCCAUUUUCCAGAUUGUUUCGAAAAAGAAAUUGGGUAAAUGAAAAUUUUGAGCAAAUAUUUGAAAAUUGUUUCAAUAGUAUUGAGACUGUAUCAAUAAAAUGAUGAUCCUGAAAAUGAUGUUUUAAAAAAAAUUUUUGAAGUAGGCUCUAGUUUAAUAUUCCAUUAAUCAGAGCUAAAAUAAAUGUCCUGAUUUCAGUGCUGAAUUAUUCUUUUCAGAAAAUUUAAGAAGCAAUGAGCAUCCUAAAGCUGCCAGUGAUUCUCAUUGUGUUCUCUGUGGCAUUAAACCAUCUGGAAGCUACAUCCAUUGAAAAACAGGAAUGGCUAGUUCCGGUUUUGCCAAGAAAUAUGCUGUUGGAACUUAAAGGAGCAAAGACAGAAUCCGAAAUAAGAAAAUCCAAAAGAUGGUUCUGGCAAGAUCCAAAACUUUUGCAUCUCCUUCUGGAACUGAAAUAUAUAGAAAUAAUGAGGGGACAAAUUAAAAUGGUCAAGAAGUUAACUUUAGAAGAUCUAGUCAAAAAGCCAAUUGUCCUUAGGGGGAUUCUUUCUAAAUUGUUCUAUAUUGUCAAAAUAUAUUUCUAUAGUUUUAACUAUUCUGUUAAUGAAACAGAAUUAUCAUAAAAAGUUAAAAUAAAAAUUCCUCAUGAGUUUACUUGCAAGCUGCUCUAAACGUACAUUAAUACCUCUUGAAAAUGUUUUCAAUAGGUAGCAUGCACACCAGAAUUUCUUUUUUAAAAAACAUUUUGAAAGGUGUCAUUUCACUUGAACGGCAAUUGUAAGGAAGUCCAAAAAUUAUGUGGGGUGAAAAUAUGUUAGCAGUAAUUACAAUUUUCAAGUUGAAAGCCUUUAAAACUGUAAUUCUCCAUUUAUUUAAAAGAUUCUUAAGUCCAAAUUCAUGCACAUGUCGUAGGUAAUAUAAGGAACCUAGUUGGUUUUGACUGCAUAUAGUUUGUGCCUACUUGGUUCUGACUGCAUGGUUUUGCCGAAUUGAACUUGUACUCUCCUAAAGACCAAGAAGAAUAGGUUAACUUCUCAUAGAAUUACCAGCAUCUUAUCUGUUUUCCUUCUGGGUGUUUUUUUGUUGAGGGGUAGGUUUUUGGUGAUAUGUAAAGAUUUCCAAAGCACCGACACAUAAUUAAUAAUAAGAAUCAGGGAAAGAUUUUUCUUUUUGUUUCAGGGCUUAUCUAAUUUACAGGAUGUUCUUCUCAGAACUGACUGUAAUUUUCAGUUGGUUUUCUCCUGGAUAAAAAUAACUUUAAAACCGACAUGAAGUUUCUUGUAAGCUAGUAGAACAAUUGAAUGAUGACAGGAAAAUAAGCAAUAUUACCUAGUGUUUGUGUCUAUAUCUUGAUCUUUUCUUACAUUACAUAUACUCAUUUGCCAAGUAUCUCUACCCAGUAUCUUUUUAAGUAUGUUUGUUUAUUGUGAGGUGAACAUUACUUAGAAAUAUAACAUUGCUUAUUAACAAAUUACAUUUUCAUGCUAGUCUCACAAUCUCUUACUUUAAAUUAUUAGUAGAAAUAUUUACAGAACAUUCACCAAUUUUUUUCUCAGGAAAUUGAAUUUCUUGAAACUGAUGUGUUUGGUCUUUUUUUUUUAAAGAUAGUGGCAGAAUUCAUUUUUUUAAAAGAUUUUUAUUUUUUCUAUUAUAGUUAAUUUAUAAUGUUCCAUCAAUUUCUGCUGUAUAGCAAAGUGACCCAGUCAUACAUAUAUACAUAUAUUUUUCAUAAUGCUGUAUGAAAAAUUUCUGUACAGGACAAGAUAUGAGAGUAUAUACCAUAAGGUUUCACAUGAAUUCUUAAAAUACUUACUCUUAGCAAAGACACAGAUAAUGAAGUACUCCCCAUACAAAAUAAAUACAUUGAGAUAAAAUCUACUGCAUUUUGCCUCAAAUUACAUAUAUCCACUGGCAUCUGGACGUUGAAUGAAGCUUCAUACCUCUUGUCCACUUUAUAAUUAACCUAAAUUUAACUAAUAUUUUGGUUCCUGUAGAGCUGAAAAUGAAAACAUUUCUCUAGAGUUCCUAAUAAUCCGCAAAAGGCAAUGUUAUAAUUCUGUAUCAAUUUCCAGGGCUAUUGUGAGAGCGCACUGAAACAAAAGGUCAUACAAACAUACGGAAUUAACAUAAAUAAAUUAACGCAAAUAAAUUCUGAGAUGUUACAAUUGAAAUGAAUUAUUUAACCUGGUUAUCACUUCUGACUUAUCCAUAAUAUUUCUAUGCAGUUAUUCCGGGUGGCUGCGUAAUAUGGUGACUAUUAAUACCAUUGACAUAAAAAGCCUUUUGGUUUUAACACCUAACCCAAUCCUAUCAGUAAAACUGCUGAAAGCAUAGGAACCAAGCAGGGGUAUAAGAACAUGGUAAUCUUCAUGUAUUUAUGCUAAGAGUAAUAGAAUUCCCACCCUACAAUAGUCAGAGUACCUGAACAGGAAUUUGAUUCCCUUGAGAAUUUAUAAUAUCUGACAUUUCUCUUAACACUCUUGAUUCAAUGAUCUCCAAGAACUUAACAGAAAUUAACAUUGGUUCAUUCUUGUGUGAAAUGUGUAGGAAGUGAAUAUCUAUUUUUUUAAUUCAGCAAGUUCCAGGUUACUUAUUAGUUUACAUUCUAAAUCCUUUUUUAAAAAAAUUGGGAAAUAGAUUCACAAAUAUUUUAAAAAAUAGAAGACAAAGAUAUUUUUAAUUAUUAUUUUCUGGAAUAUAUUCUGAAUUUCCAAAGAAAGGAUUGUACUGGGAAAUUCAACAUUGACUAUAAUAAAGGGUUUGCUGUAUGAUUUCCAAGCAAACCAAAACACUGGGUUACUGAUAGGAAGAUGUUUCCUUUAGUUUUCAUCAAUAUGAGAUAUUUGGGGUCAUAUAGAUAGUUGUAUCCAAUCCUGAGUCUAAGUUUCUAACCUUUCAUAUUUCUUCGAUGUUCCCAGUCAUCAGAUGGAAAAACAGAAAUGCAACAUGGCCACUUGUGCGACUCAACACCUGGCAAAUUUUUUAGAUCGUUCCAGGAACAACCUUGGCACCAUUUUCUCACCUACCAAGGUGGGAUCCAACACAUAUGGCAAGAGGGAUACAGUUGAGAUUUUAAUGAAAGAACCAUUGAAUUACUUACCCCUUUAGAGGUCAACGCACCUCUAAAGUUCUUAUUGCUUUAUGUAUAAAUACCCUAGUGAUUUCCUGUAUAAUUUAACAGUACCUUUUUCAUUUCUAAAGUGAAUAUGUGAAUCUGUGUGUCCCAUGUUUGCUGCCAGUACAUGUAAACUGUUGUGCUGAGAAUUGUUUUAAAUUUAAUACUAAUCAAGAUCCCUUAAUAAAAAGGCAAAGUCUUUACAAAUGAAA